UCUAAAAGAGGGGAACUUGAACUCCAGCAAGGACAGAAGUAGAAACAAUUGAUCACAAAUACGCAAGGAAUGAAUGAAAAAGAAACAACUGAGCAACAAGUGUACCAAACACCAUAAUGGGCUGGUGUCAACAAGAAAAAAAGGGAAAUUGCUCUAAGUGACUUUCAGGCUCAUAAAUGGCUACUCACAUAUUAAAAAAUAUGUGAGAAUGAGAUUACAAUGGAACAGCAGCUUACUCCUCCUAAAUCUAGAACGUUCUAGCCCAAAAAUAUGCAUGAUCAGAAAAGCCCUUCUUGAACCUCAGAUCCGUGCCUGACUCAGUGGCAUUAGUCCCAGGCUACCUCCAGGUCCAGGAACCCACAUGUCCCUUUUGGACAUCAGCCAAGGGACAAGCUCCUUCAUUCCAUGUCAAAGCAUAUGCUCAUGUUCCAGGUGCUUGCAGCCCCUCGAUCUUCCUGCCACAGCCUGAACUAUUCACUAUGAAUAAGGUGCGCGGUAAAGACAUCAGAACCCUUGCAGGGGACACAUUUUGCCUACAUUUGGCAUCUUUCUAUUCUUCUGGCUUUCAUAGUGCUGAGAACUUCAGUCACUCUGAAGCUGUGAGACAGCUCCCUAGUGGGCAAUUCAUUCAUCAAAUUUACUCAAGUGUAUUUGCUGCAUUACAAGGUCAAGAUGCAUCCCAUUUCUCAACAUACAGCCAGCUCGGGAAUUAAGCAGUGACACUGGAGAUUGAGCAGAAAUCUUUUCAACUAUAUAAUUAAUACAGAACUAUAAAAGCUAUGAAAGCCUAAGAUAGCAUGCUAUUAAGCAGCCCUUCCAACUUUUUUUCAUGAGUAGGUUGAUAAGGAUCUUGAUAAGGAUUUUCAUUUCAGGUUGAUAAGGAUCUCCUUCAAAUCAAGCAUCAAGAAUAUAUCCUGAAAGACAAGUCACAAUAAUUUGCAAAGCUCAACCUUAAAUCAUGAGACAAACAUGACAACAAGCACAUGUAAGGAUAAUGAGUUUAUUUAUUAGAAUAGAUCUUCUAGAUAGGCUAGUUAUACAAAUAUGACAUUUGGCAGUCCUUUUAUUUCCCAAUUCAGUAAUUAAAAUGCAGCUUAGUUAUGAAGGCACACUGGUACUUCACGCAUCAGUAACAUCCAAUAUAUCUGGCAAGAGGAACAUCUCUGUCCUACAUUCUUUAAAAGCUGUUUGUUUCAUUUCCUAAAGUGAAUCUAAAAUCACUAAGGACUUGAAUCAGAACUGAUCAUACAGAAAC